CAACUACAUAAAAAGCACACUCAUAUAACGGCAGGGAUAGGGCCUGCAAGUUUCUACCGAUUCACCGUAAAUGAAUCGACUAUGGGUGAGCAAUGCGGCGUA
rnacentral:ncRNA from 3 species